UACAGAGGGUGCAAGCGUUGUUCGGAAUUAUUGGGCGUAAAGGGAGUGUAGGCGGCUCUUUAAGUCUUCUGUGAAAUCUACGGGCUUAACCUGUAACGUGCAGAGGAUACUGAGGAGCUUGAGUGUCGGAGAGGAUAGUGGAAUUCCCGGUGUAGAGGUGAAAUUCGUAGAGAUCGGGAGGAACACCAGUGGCGAAGGCGGCCUUCUGGACCAGCACUGACACUCAAGCACGAAAGCGUGGGGAGCAAACAGG
rnacentral:rRNA from 1 species